AUGCAGUCGACGGAACGAUGGGAGCUUGCUCCCAGGCGUCGAGUGGCGGACGGGUGAGUAAUACUUAGGAAUCUGCCCAUUAGUGGGGGACAACUAGAAGAAAUUCUAGCUAAUACCGCAUACGCCCUACGGGGGAAAGCGGGGGAUCUUCGGACCUCGCGCUAAUGGAUGAGCCUAAGUCGGAUUAGCUUGUUGGUGAGGUAAUGGCUCACCAAGGCGACGAUCCGUAGCUGGUCUGAGAGGACGAUCAGCCACACUGGGACUGAGACACGGCCCAGACUCCUACGGGAGGCAGCAGUGGGGAAUAUUGGACAAUGGGCGCAAGCCUGAUCCAGCAAUGCCGCGUGUGUGAAGAAGGCCUGCGGGUUGUAAAGCACUUUCAGUAGAGAAGAAAAGCUUACGGUUAAUAACCGUGAGUCUUGACGUAACCUACAGAAGAAGCACCGGCUAACUCCGUGCCAGCAGCCGCGGUAAUACG
rnacentral:rRNA from 1 species